UUGUACUAAGAGCUAACGUAGUUGUACCUUGUACACUGAAAGUGACUAUUGUGACUAGAAAUUCCCAGUGUACUUGGUGCAUUUUCUAAUUUUGUCCGUUUCUCUUUGUUUUUUUCUCUCCAUUGCUGCCCAAUGUAACUUUUGAGCAAUUUCCUCUCUUUUUGUUGUUUCCUCUGUUUUCAUUCAUCCACUCAAUGGCCUUUGAGUUUUCCUUUCACAAGCAUCUCAGUUUUUCUGGGAAGAUUUUAUUACCCUUUUGUUUGUUUUACUCAAUCCAAAGUUCCAAUCAAAGGAAAUUCACUAAUAUUUGGUGGGUUUUAUGUGUUUUUAUUGUUUGGUUUAUGGGGUCUCCUGAUGGAACAUAAUACAAGCUGAAAGACAUCUGAUGAGGAAAUGAUUAUAUUUAAAAUAACACAGUAAGGUGGUUUGAUAUUCUAAUCUGAGUGAAGAUGGCCAUGUCACUCGAGGACCUCCUUGCAAAGGAAAGAUUUAAUAGGAGGAUGUCAAAAACAGUGCCUAAAGCUUCAUUCGGAACAAAGAGGCAAGAAGUGGACCUAUUUACCCACUUCAAGAACCUCAUAAACCUGUGUCUUCAUCAGGCACAAGAAAAACCGAGAAGACAAAAUCUGCUAUCCUGUGGCAUGACUUGAAAGAUAAGACCCCAAGAGUCAAUUUUGCAGACAGGAGGCAAAAGAAGGAAAGUAAGCACAGAAUGGGCUCGUGCGAUCUAUCAUCGGAUGUUAAGAGAAUUAGUAUUACUCCAUCCGUUUCAAUUUAGGUGAACCUAUACCAAAAAGAAUGACCUAUUUCCUUAUUUAGAAAUAAUUUACCUUUAUUCAAUGAUUUAUAGCCACACAAAUAUAUGUGCCUUAUUUUACACUACAAGUUCAAAAGCCUUCUCUCUUUUUUUAAACUCUGUGCCCAAUCAAAUCGAUUCACAUAAAUUGAAACGGAGGGAGUAGUUCUUUUGAUGAAUUGAGGUUGGAGAGCGAAAUGGUUCGAGAUACAAUCAUAUAUACUCGAAUCAAACUUACAGAAAUGGGAGUGGUGAAGGCAGGUUUUCUAGAAGAAGUGAGGAAGCAGAAGGACAACGACAGUCCUUCGGAAAAGAUACAAAAGCAACAACAAAAUGUCUCAAUAAUUCUAGUAAACUUCUUUCAGGAUAUCCAAGCUUUAGAGAUGAUUAUCAGAAACAUAUUGAACAACCUGAGACCUCCUACAGCACAUCAACUAGAAGUUUGUUAACCAACAAAAGUUAUGGUACAGCUGGAAGCGUAAGGAAAGCCAAGAUUGAGCACACUGCAGCUAUUCCUGCUCUUGAUGAAGUUGUUGUUCAGGCUGUAAUCUCUAUCUUGACUGGAUAUAUAAUACGUUUUCUCAUAGAUGUAGAUUUUAGGACAUCACUUCGUCACAAUAUUUUUGCGUCCCUAAAUUUUGUUGGAUUAGAAGAAGGCCUAAAUACUGAAAGCAAGGUCCUAGCUACUCUUGAACAGUGUUUUAAAAGGCGUUGGCCUAAGACGAGGCGUUUUACA